UACGUAGGGCGCAAGCGUUGUCCGGAAUUAUUGGGCGUAAAGAGCUCGUAGGCGGUCUGUCACGUCUGCCGUGAAAACCCGAGGCUUAACCUCGUGGCUUGCGGUGGAUACGGGCAGACUAGAGGUAGGUAGGGGAGAACGGAAUUCCCGGUGUAGCGGUGAAAUGCGCAGAUAUCGGGAGGAACACCGGUGGCGAAGGCGGUUCUGCUGGGCCGAUACUGACACUGAGGAGCGAA
rnacentral:rRNA from 1 species